UGACCUCAGAUCAGGCAAGGCAACCCGCUGAAUUUAAGCAUAUUAAUAAGCGGAGGAAAAGAAACUAACAAGGAUUCCCCUAGUAAUGGCGAAUGAAGCGGGAACAGCUCAAAUUUAAAAUCUCCGUUGCCUAAUCUCCGUUACCCUACUGCCUCCUCGUGGCGAGAGUCGUGAGUAGGUUGCCUUGGCAACCGAAACUAAAUUUGUUCCAGCGGCUUCAGGCGACGAGCGUGGUGGAGAGCUGUACCUUACUGUAACCAGUUCUUCAAAUACCUCUGCUCCGAGCGUACCAGCCGG
rnacentral:ncRNA from 1 species